rnacentral:rRNA from 1 species
GACAGAGGAUGCAAGCGUUAUCCGGAAUGAUUGGGCGUAAAGCGUCUGUAGGUGGCUUUUUAAGUCCGCCGUCAAAUCCCAGGGCUCAACCCUGGACAGGCGGUGGAAACUACCAAGCUGGAGUACGGUAGGGGCAGAGGGAAUUUCCGGUGGAGCGGUGAAAUGCGUAGAUAUUGGAAAGACCACCGAUGGCGAAGGCACUCUACUGGGCCACUACUGACACUGAGAGACGAAAGCUAGGGGAGCAAAUGGG